GACGAACGCUGGCGGCGUGCUUAACACAUGCAAGUCGAACGGAAAGGCCCUGCUUUUGUGGGGUGCUCGAGUGGGGAACGUGGGAGUAACACGUGAGUAACCCGCCCUUGACUUUGGGAUAACAUCAGGAAACUGGGGCUAAAACCGCAUAGGAUCUCCUGCUGCGUGUGGGGGGAUGGAAAGCUUUGGCGGUUGGGGAUGGACUCGCGGCUUAUCAGCUGGUUGGUGGGGUAGUGGCUUACCAAGGCUUUGACGGGUAGCCGGCCUGAGAGGGUGACCGGCCACAUUGGGACUGAGAUACGGCCCAGACUCCUACGGGAGGCAGCAGUGGGGAAUAUUGCACAAUGGGCGGAAGCCUGAUGCAGCAACGCCGCGUGCGGGAUGACGGCCUUCGGGUUGUAAACCGCUUUCGCCUGUGACGAAGCGUGAGUGACGGUAAUGGGUAAAGAAGCACCGGCUAACUACGUG
rnacentral:rRNA from 1 species